AAUAUUGUGGGCAAGCGCAAGCCCCCGCCUGGCACAGCACUGCCAGCGUCGAGUGGGGCUGCUGCCAGUCUGGGUAUGAAGUGAGCCCAAGCAGCGAUUCAGACUCCCAGUCCAUGAUCUCUGCAUCCAAUGACAAUGACUUCCCCACCUUGGACAGAAGAGCAAAGAAAAUCAGCAGCAGCCCCCAGCUCUCGUCCCCCAUUGGUAAAAAGAAAGA